GACGAACGCUGGCGGCGUGCUUAACACAUGCAAGUCGAACGGAAAGGCCCUGCUUUUGUGGGGUGCUCGAGUGGCGAACGGGUGAGUAACACGUGAGUAACCUGCCCUUGACUUUGGGAUAACUUCAGGAAACUGGGGCUAAUACCGGAUAGGAGCUCCUGCUGCAUGUUGGGGGUUGGAAAUUUUCGGCGGUUGGGGAUGGACUCGCGGCUUAUCAGCUUGUUGGGGGGGAAGUGGCUUACCAAGGCUUUGACGGGUAGCCGGCCUGAGAGGGUGACCGGCCACAUUGGGACUGAGAUACGGCCCAGACUCCUACGGGAGGCAGCAGUGGGGAAUAUUGCACAAUGGGCGGAAGCCUGAUGCAGCAACGCCGCGUGCGGGAUGACGGCCUUCUGGUUGUAAACCGCUUUCGCCUGUGACGAAGCGUGAGUGACGGUAAUGGGUAAAGAAGCACCGGCUAACUACGUG
rnacentral:rRNA from 1 species